rnacentral:snRNA from 1 species
GAUUCAGCCCUUUGUCGC